GGUCGUAGCAUGUAGCCGUAACUUGUAACUCGUACGGUAACAGGGGUAGCUUGCUACCCGCUGACGAGCGGCGGACGGGUGAGUAAUGCUUAGGAAUCUGCCCAGUAGUGGGGGAUAGCCCGGGGAAACCCGGAUUAAUACCGCAUACGUCCUACGGGAGAAAGCAGGGGAUCUUCGGACCUUGCGCUAUUGGAUGAGCCUAAGUCGGAUUAGCUAGUUGGUGGGGUAAAGGCCUACCAAGGCGACGAUCCGUAGCUGGUCUGAGAGGAUGAUCAGCCACAUCGGGACUGAGACACGGCCCGAACUCCUACGGGAGGCAGCAGUGGGGAAUAUUGGACAAUGGGGGCAACCCUGAUCCAGCCAUGCCGCGUGUGUGAAGAAGGCUUUCGGGUUGUAAAGCACUUUCAGUAGGGAGGAAAACCUUAUGGUUAAUACCCAUGAGGCUUGACGUUACCUACAGAAGAAGCACCGGCUAACUCCGUGCCAGCAGCCGCGGUAAUACGGAGGGUGCAGCGUUAUCGGAAUUAACUGGGCGUAAAGCGCGCGUAGGUGGUUUGGUAAGCGAGAUGUGAAAGCCCCGGGCUUAACCUGGGAACGGCAUUUCGAACUGUCAGACUAGAGUGUGGUAGAGGGUAGUGGAAUUUCCUGUGUAGCGGUGAAAUGCGUAGAUAUAGGAAGGAACACCAGUGGCGAAGGCGGCUACCUGGACCAACACUGACACUGAGGUGCGAAAGCGUGGGGAGCAAACAGGAUUAGAUACCCUGGUAGUCCACGCCGUAAACGAUGUCAACUAGCCGUUGGGACUCUUGAAGUCUUAUUGGCGCAGCUAACGCACUAAGUUGACCGCCUGGGGAGUACCGCCGCAAGGUUAAAACUCGGGUGAGGUGACGGGCUCCCGCACAAGCGGUGGAUCAUGUGGUUUAAUUCAACUCAACGCGAACAACGUUACCUGGUCUUGACAUCCACAGAACUAUCCAGAGAUGGAUUGGUGCCUUCCGGGACUCUGAAGCCGGUGCUGCAUGCUCGUCGUCAGCUCGAGUCAUGAGAUGUGCGCCUCAGGUUCGGUAGCGACCCCAACCUCUAUUUCUGGUUGCUACCUGGGGAUGCUCACCACUCGGGGGACACUUGUAGGUGACUGCCCGGCGAAUGUAGAUUAUGACGUCCCCGACGGCAUUGGCCUUACGUUUAAGGCAACUCUCCUUACGGCCAGGGCUACACACGUGCUACAAUGGCGCGUACAGAGGGCUGCCAACUCGCGAGAGUGAGCCAAUCCCUUAAAACGCGUCGUAGUCCGGAUCGGAGUCUGCAACUCGACUCCGUGAAGUCGGAAUCGCUAGUAAUCGCGAAUCAGAAUGUCGCGGUGAAUACGUUCCCGGGCCUUGUACACACCGCCCGUCACACCAUGGGAGUGGAUUGCACCAGAAGUAGUUAGUCUAACCUUCGGGAGGACGAUUACCACGGUGUGGUUCAUGACUGGGGUGAAGUCGUAACAAGGUAGCC
rnacentral:rRNA from 2 species